rnacentral:snRNA from 1 species
GUGCUCACUUCAGCAGCACAUAUACCUCAACUGGAAUCAUACAAAGAAGAUUGCAUGGCCCCUGCUCAAGGAUGACAUGCAAACUGGUGGAGCAUUUCAUGUUUUU